AAAAUAAUGUCUUUCAGUUAUUUAUUUAACUGCAGCAAGCAACUUGAAAUGUAAGAACAUCAAUUAAUUGAAAGGAAAAGUAAGUAAUAAGCAUGAGGACAUACAACUAUUAUAUGUAACAAUUGCAGACACACACACACACACACGUGUGUGUUGGAAAGUGCAGCACAUAACUCAGUAGUACAUUCUAUGAUUAUUAAUUCAAUGUCUACAAGAAGGGCAUUCAACUGUAGAAGAUCUGCCAUGACAAAUUCUGUCUGGCCCAUUUGAGCAUGGAAAAGUGGUCAUUAAAAUAAUGCUGAUGUCAGCUUACUCAUGAUGUGAGCCUUGGGCAAAAGAAAACAUUAGAAGUAGACUAUUACAAAAUGAAGUUGCCAAUUCCUGACCUGCAUAGUGUACAUUACAUAAAACUCUGUCUGAAUCAAUUUGCCUAACUAUAUUAGUACCUCAAGUAGAAACUGCUCAUGACUAAAAACAGAAGGAAUGCUGUGCAAUUAAUGAGAGGUUUUGUUAGCUCAUAGUGUUGGCUAUAUGUCCAGUAGACUCAGAGAAGAUGAAUUGUUGGAAGACCUGAUUCAAUCUCACUUUGAAUCAAGGUCCUUCCAUCUAUCCAUCCAUCUUCUCCACCUACUAUUCCUGGAAGAGUCAUGGGGGUAGAGUCCUCAGGCCUUGAUAGUGUCCUAUCAGAAGCAAGCAGCAUUACACUUUCCUGCUAGAUUCUCAAACAUGACCAAUGGAGACUGGAUAUUAUCUGGUCAGCUUACUCAUGGUCUACUCUUAGAUUCUUUCAGUUAAGCCAACCAGUAGGAGACCUAACUUGUAAUCUUUUCCUGUGGCAUUCUGACCACAUGUCCAUAGUACCAGUGCUAUGACCUUUCAAUGUGGAAAAGUAGCAGCUCACUCUGGAGAAACUAUCCAAUCUCUGAGCUAUGUAUCCUGCCAAGUAACGUUAUUCCAGAGAUCCUGUGACAAGCUGGUGAAACUAACAGAAAUAUUGUUUUCAAAUUUUGGCACACAAAUACACACACACACACACACACACAUAUAUAUAUAUAUAUACACAAUGGCUUCAUUCAGUUUCCGUCUACCAAAUCCACACAAGGCUUUGGUCAGCCUGAGGCUAUAGUAGAAGACACUGGCCCAAGGUGCCAUGCAGUGGAACUGAACCCAGAACCAUGUGGUUGGUAAGCAAGGUUCUUACCACACAGCCACUCCUGCACACAUAUAUGUGCUACCGUUUUAGGAUGCCUUUUUUUAAUAGUGAAACAAACAAAAAUAGUCACUGGUAAUAAUUUCAAAUUUUUUGGCACAAGGCCAGCAAGUUUAGGGAAGGAGGCAAGUUGAUUACAUUGAUCCCCAGUGCUCAACUGUUCCUUAUUUUAUUGACCCUGAAAGGAUGAAAAGGUAAAGUUAAUCGCAGCAGAAUUUGAACUCAGAACGUAAAGACAGACGAAAUGCCACUUAGCGUCUUGCCAGGCACGCUAACAAUUCUGCCAGCUCACUGUUUUAAAAUAGUCACAAAUAAUCAUCAUCAUCAUCAUCAUCAUCGUUUAACGUCCGCUUUCCAUGCUAGCAUGGGUUGGACGAUUUGUAAUAUUAAUAUUAAUAUUAAUUGUUAGAUUGACCCAUUGAGCUGUAUUCAAGUCCAUCAUUCAGUGCAUGUUUAAUGGUACACUCAGACAUAUUAAACACUUAUAUGGCCGCAGCUCUGAGCUGAAACUUUAAAAAAAAAAUUUUUUAAAAAAACUUUAAAAAAAAAAUAUAUAUGUGUGUAUGUAAAAUAUAUACACAGCAUUAUUGAUCCCAGGGUUGUUUACUGUUAACAAGAGAGUGGAGCAGAUGAACAGGUGUUUUUUGUUUCCUUUCCUUUGAUUCCAGUUUUUAUUGGUUUCUGAUAAAUAGAUCAGUACAUUAUAAUUGCAGGUUAUUGAGCUAUAUUUAGUAUUAUAUACAACAGCGAGUAAUAUUAAGAGAACUUCAAUGGCAGUGUUCUGGAGAAAAAUGAGGAAUAUAGUCGGUUAUUGAUCAAUUUGGUAUGUUAGUAGGUGAUAAUGAGACAUCACAGUGGGUGAUAUCAAUAGAAAUAAGGACAUUAAAGAAUGCUAAACAGAUGAAUAUACAUUGAACAAUAUGUAAUAUUGAUGGAUAAUUUAGUCCAGCAUGGAUCACUAUUUGAGUAGUGAAUAGCAAUUAGUAGUAUCGUAGGAAACUGGCAAAUGUUAUAGACUGAGACAAGGAUUUUGUCUGUCAAUGAAACUAUUUGAAGUCAUAUUUUCUGACAAUUGGUCCUUAAAACAUAUAUAUAUAUAUAUAUAUAUAUAUAAUAGAAAUAGUUGAUAUGGAGGAAAGAGUAUAUUGGAAACUUUAUCACAAGAAUCGUUUUGACACAUCCUGCAUGAUCAUUGUGAUAAAUAAAGUUUCCACUAUACUCUAUCUUCCGUAUCCAUUGUUUCUACUAAACUCAAUGGGCGCCUGAGGAAUUCCUGAUGUAGAUCCAGCAAUGAUUGUGCAAUUACUGUGGACAGCACCAGGUAGCCAUAAGCAGUGAAUGUGCUCUGCUGGCAUACUCCUAGGGAACAUACCCAAAACACAGUUUAAAUUUUAAAUUUAAAUCUAAACUUGAAUUAUAACUAUAUACAUCCAUUAUAUAUAUAUCUGUAAAAAUAUGUGACACUUAUUUGGUAGCCAUGAUAAAACUCUGAGUUUCGGAUGCUGGGGUGGAAGCCCACGCCAACAUCUCUUCAGUUAUCCGUAUCCGGCCAUUGAAAAUUCCUGUGAAAAAAUAUAUAUAUAUAUAUAUAUAUUAUUGCAGAAAAGGAGAAAUAAUUUGCUAAGCUAAUUUGAUGAAGAUGCCUGACAGAAAUGAACAUAUUGGAAGGAAAACCAAAAUACAAGUAGUAAUCCUACAAAGAAAGAUGGAUGCUGAGAGCUCCACAAAGAAGUGCUGAUUUCAAAGUAAAUAGAACCUGUGGAAGUGGGAGACCCAAGAAGACAUGGAAUAAAGUACUGAAGAACAACCUCAGGAUACUGUACCCUUCAGGCAAGAGGACAAAGGACCAAGAUGCCUGGUGCCUUGCUGUACUCAAGAAGACCUGUACUCCACAGCAGAAGUGUUAAAAAAAGACCAGCAGAACCUAGAACUGCAGAUGGCUUCCACAGAUGUUGCCUUAGGACCAAACUGAAUUCCUCAGCAUGAACCCACAUCAUGAUAGUAGAAGUCAGGAAAAGGCCAGGCUGAGUAACCUGCAGGACACCAUUGUUGUGAGACAGAGGAAGAUGCUCAGCCAUAUGUUAUACAUACCAGAGACCAGAGAAAGCCUCUCUUGAGUGGAAAACAGAGAGAAGGUGAAGCAGACCUGGCAGAUUUGGGCCUGACCUAGGGAAAGGUUCAUGACAAAGCUUAUAAUUGUACUGGAUAGGGACCAUUUGUUGUCUGGUGCUCCACAAAGAAUGGAAGGAUCUAAGACUAAAGUCUUUUAGAAUAUCAAGAUAUUAAUGGGACUUAACAAAGCAGGUAUGUAAACACAUUUAAUAGUUUUUGUCUGUGUGAGACAUUGCCAGGAGAAUGUUGAAGAGUGAUCUCAGUCAGCUCUGUUUGAACAGGCCCAUGUGACAGGUGUGAGAUAUUCAUUUGGUCGUUUUUUGUCUGAGCUUCAUUUGGUCGUUUUUUGUCUGAGCUUCAUUUGGUCAACUCUAGUUGUAAACAUCUCAUUUUGACUGUAAAUGCUUCCUAACACUUUGGAGCUUCAAAAUACGAUCCUAUUUUUAAAAAUAAAGGAGAAUUUGAUUGAUUAAAA